UACGUAGGUGGCAAGCGUUGUCCGGAUUUACUGGGUGUAAAGGGCGUGCAGCCGGGAGUGCAAGUCAGAUGUGAAAUCCCGCGGCUCAACCGCGGAACUGCAUUCGAAACUGUGCUUCUUGAGUGCUGGAGAGGCAGACGGAAUUCCUAGUGUAGCGGUGAAAUGCGUAGAUAUUAGGAGGAACACCAGUGGCGAAGGCGGUCUGCUGGACAGUAACUGACGGUGAGGCGCGAAAGCGUGGGGAGCAAACAGG
rnacentral:rRNA from 1 species